AAGGUUUUAGGUCAUAGGUUUUGGUUUAGGUUAAGGUUAUAGGUAUAGGUUAAGGUUUAGGUUUAGGUUUUAGGUUAUAGGUUAAGGUUAUAGGUUUAGGUUAAGGUUUUAGGUCAUAGGUUUUGGUUUAGGUUAAGGUUAUAGGUAUAGGUUAAGGUUUUAGGUCAUAGGUUUUGGUUUAAGUUAAGGUUAUAGGUAUAGGUUAAGGUUU